rnacentral:rRNA from 1 species
AUGGGACUCGGCAUUAUUAAUCUCAAGUGGUUCGGCUUGGCACUCAGAUGCAAAUGGCCGUGGUUACAAUGGGACGCAAAGGAGAGACCGUGGCAACAUAUCCCUGAUUCCACAGAGAAGGAUGUUCAGGCCAUGUUCAAUGCGGCCUGCUGCAUCAGUCUGGGUGACGGUGAAUCCGCGCGGUUUUGGACUGACAACUGGCUCCUGGAUGGCCGUUCUACCUGGAUCAGAGAUAUCUCAGGAGGUUUAACUCUUAUAGCCAUGGCCCAAUACCUACGGGUUUGGGAGAUUGUCCAGGACACAUCGUUGACUAUGGGAACCAGAGACCGGGCGAUCUGGAAAUUGUUGCACGAUCAACAGUUCUCUGUUAAGAGUGCUUAUCACUUGUUCUUCCUCGGGAACACUAGCUUUGCGUGCUACAAGCCGAUCUGGAAAUCCAAGGCGCCACCACGUUGCAAGUUUUUCAUGUGGCUGGCUGUCCACCGUAGAUGUCUGAUAGCUGACAACCUGGAGCGGAGGAACUGGCCAUCCAACGGCAUCUGUCCUCUUUGCGCUUCUGAGCCUGAGUCCUGCUCACAUCUCUUUGUGCACUGCAAUUUCACCAAGCUAGUUUGGCUUCGUUUUAAGGCACGGACAAGGGCUGAUUUCCUGAUCCCUGAUGUUACCUUCAACUCUACAGAAGAGUGGUGGUUGAAGGCAAGGGCGACGAUCCCGAAGCCAAUGCGGAGGAACUUCGACACGAUUGUCAUUCUUCUUCACUGGAGGAUUUGGAAGGAAAGGAACGCGAGGAUCUUUGAUAAUGUGGCAAGUUCUGCUGACAAGAUUCGGGACCUGAUCCUGGAGGAUAUCGGCGUCUGGAGGGCCGCGGGUUGUAUUAGCGAUUUGGUGGCAUGA